rnacentral:snoRNA from 1 species
AUGCAUCCAUAAUAAUGCUCCAUUAAAAAAGAAGUUCUCAUGGCUGACAACUUUAUAGUACAGGUUGAGUGGUAGUAUAUUUCUCCUACAUAA